rnacentral:rRNA from 1 species
GGAGUCUAGCAUGUGCGCGAGUCAUUGGGACUCGAGCGAAACCUAAAGGCGAAAUGAAAGUGAAGGGACGUCGUCGUCGUUUACGACGCGUCGAACCGAGGGAGGAUGGGUCGCGCUCGACGCGGCCUCGCACUCCCGGGGCGUUUCGUUCUCAUUGCGAGAAGAGGCGCACCCAGAGCGUACACGCUGGGACCCGAAAGAUGGUGAACUAUGCCUGGUCAGGACGAAGUCAGGGGAAACCCUGAUGGAGGUCCGUAGCGAUUCUGACGUGCAAAUCGAUCGUCGGAACUGGGUAUAGGGGCGAAAGACUAAUCGAACCAUCUAGUAGCUGGUUCCCUCCGAAGUUUCCCUCAGGAUAGCUGGCGCUCGUUAUAUGCGAGUGUCAUCCGGUAAAGCGAAUGAUUAGAGGCAUUGGGGUCGAAACGGCCUCAACCUAUUCUCAAACUUUAAAUGGGUGAGAACUCCGGCUUGCUCGAUAAAUGAAGCCGCGAGAAUUAAACGGUACGUAUGUACGUACCUUUAGAUGGAUCAGAGUGCCAAGUGGGCCACUUUUGGUAAGCAGAACUGGCGCUGUGGGAUGAACCAAACGCAGAGUUAAAGCGCCAAAAUCGACGCUUAUGGGAUACCAUGAAAGGCGUUGGUAACUUAAGACAGCAGGACGGUGGCCAUGGAA